GAUGAACGCUAGCGGCAGGCUUAAUACAUGCAAGUCGAGGGGUAGCAAGAUUGUAGCAAUACAAUUGUUGACGACCGGCAAACGGGUGCGGAACACGUACACAACCUUCCUACAAGUGGGGAAUAGCCCAGAGAAAUUUGGAUUAAUACCCCGUAACAUAGCGAUGUGGCAUCACAUUGCUAUUAUAGCUUCGGCGCUUGUUGAUGGGUGUGCGGCUGAUUAGAUAGUUGGCGGGGUAACGGCCCACCAAGUCUACGAUCAGUAGCUGAUGUGAGAGCAUGAUCAGCCACACGGGCACUGAGACACGGGCCCGACUCCUACGGGAGGCAGCAGUAAGGAAUAUUGGACAAUGGGCGCAAGUCUGAUCCAGCCAUGCCGCGUGAAGGAUUAAGGUCCUCUGGAUUGUAAACUUCUUUUAUAAGGGACGAAAAAAGGUCUUUCUAGAUCGUCUGACGGUACCUUAUGAAUAAGCACCGGCUAACUCCGUGGCAGCAGCCGCGGUAACAC
rnacentral:rRNA from 1 species